CACGACUACAUUAGAUACCCGUGUAGUCCUAGCCGUAAACGAUACUCGCUAGGUGUCGGCCACGGUGCGACCGUUGUCGGUGCCGUAGGGAAGCCGUGAAGCGAGCCACCGUGGGAAGUACCGGCCGCAAGGCUGAAACUUAAAGGAAUUGGCGGGGAGCACAACAACGGGUGGAGCUUGCGGUUUAAUUGGAUUCAACGCCGGAAAUCUUACCGGGACCGACAGCAACAUGAAGGCCAAGCUGAAGACUUUGCCGGAUUAGCUG
rnacentral:rRNA from 1 species